rnacentral:lncRNA from 1 species
GCACCAACAGCUCUUUAGUAGCAGGGUUCAACCUGCAUUCACAAAGAGAAAUGAAGAACUGAAUCAUUCGUCUGUGCUGUGCCAAGCUUCUGCCUCUAUCAACCAUAUCUUUCAAGCAUGGGUAGGAGGCAAGGGUGAAUUGCCCCAAUCGGUUGUUUACCUUGCUAAGCUUGCCUUCUGAUAGCUUUUCUUCCCAUUCUGAUUGUCCAUCACAAAGCCAAGUAUAUGUUGUAUAUGUUCCAAAGAUUGUAAGA